AGCGGCGGACGGGUGAGUAACGCGUAGGAAUCUACCCAGUAGUGGGGGACAACUUAGGGAAACUUAAGCUAAUACCGCAUACGCCCUAAGGGGGAAAGCGGGGGAUCUUCGGACCUCGCGCUAUUGGAAGAGCUUGCGUUAGAUUAGCUAGUUGGUGGGGUAAAGGCUCACCAAGGCGACGAUCUAUAGCUGGUCUGAGAGGAUGAUCAGCCACACUGGGACUGAGACACGGCCCAGACUCC
rnacentral:rRNA from 1 species